rnacentral:lncRNA from 1 species
UCUUUCUUCUUCUAGCUUCUAUUAUCUUCAACAGAGAGAGAGAGAUACAUAAUAGAGGGGCGGCUGCGAAAACAGAGAGGGGGGUUUGGAAAAAAAAAAUCAAGAAAAAAAAUCUGGUGAGUUUAAGAUUAUUAUUUUUUUAAUUUUGAAGUUAAGCUUUGAUUUAUUUUGGGUUAAAACACAUGUAUAUAUAUGCAUAUGUAUAUCUAUAGGAAUUUUUAUGAUUAAAUUGAUUCCUAAUAUUUAACUGUUAAUCGUAUAUGUUUGCACGGAUUAUGCUUGAUGAUUCGCGAUAAUGCCGUGCGAUGAUGUUUUGAGAGUGGUGGAUUUUUAGUUGAGAUUUGAGAAAGGAGGAAAAAUUUCAGAAACAUAGAAACUGGAAUUCGCAGCUUUCACUGGUCUUCAAUGGCUGCCCCAACUUGAAAAUUAUCAAGUGUGGUUGAGACAGUCGAACCAUUGUACACCCUAUUUUAAAACUGGUCAAUUAGAUGAGUUUUGGGUCGUGUGAAUAGUCAUUUUCUAUGUUUUCCAGCGUUCUGAAUUUGAUUUUGGGAUCAGAUUUGAUGAAUUUUGACUAUAGAAUGCUGAUUUAUAAAAAUAGUGUAGAAAAAAGUGUUUAGUGGCUACAUAAUUGUUAAUAACGGUGGAAUUAUCUUAAUAGGUGUUUUGGUUAUGGGAAUAGAGCGGGUGCGAGUAAGCUUGGAAGUGAAAUUGGAGAUUGAUAAGGUGAGAGUAUCUAGCUUUCAUAAUGUCUUGAAAUAUAAUAUUUUUCAUGCCUAUUCACUUUAUGAAAAAUAAUUGAAAAUAUGGUGAUUAAGUUGGAUCAAAAUAU